rnacentral:precursor_RNA from 1 species
UUGAUAACUUCUUCUCUGUAAAGCGUUCUACCGAGCACUUGACUAGAAAAGUUCUAGUAAAAUGUCAUCUCUAAAAAUAGUAAUCCUUGAAUUUAAGAAACUAUUUAUUAAAGGACCAAAGGCCUUUUUUGGUACCCAAAGUGCCGUCUCGGCCAAAGUACUGAUAUUUGUCCGAUGGCCUCCGGAAAUUCAGGUUACCACUUUAAAGCGAGAUUGAAAUAGGAUUUCUAUAAAUAGAAAUUUAUUAUAGAAGAGUCUAUGGUUAACUAUUUAAGGACCGCCAGGCAUCAUCGUUACUAAACUCUUUAAGAGAUUUAUAUUAAUUUCUUAAGAUAGUUGUCUUAUAGCUAAAUCAAAAUUAUUCUCUAAUUUGAUUCACUUAUAGGAAUAAGGCCGGUGAUUUUACCAUCCUAAGGAUUUCAAGACAGAGAUGAGGAACGAAGUAAUUGAAAAGAUAGUAAAAAAGAAGUAUAUUAAAGCCUAUCUAUUCAAAGGGAUCAUCUAAGAUGUAAUUUUAGACAUUAAGGUCUAACAAAAACGUACGUAGAUGCUAGAAAUAACUUCUUCUAAUUAGUAGAUUUUGUAUUUUUAGAUGAGCUGGAUGAAAGAAAUCUUUCAUGUCCGGUUCUGAAGUAGAGGCAGUUCUUCUAAUGUUUAUGCCGAGCAAAGUCUUAUCAUAUUGGACUCAGUUAGCAUAUGGAAGAGAACUAUCGACUAUAACUUAUAGCCUUCCAAGCUAAUGGUGCGGGUUCG